rnacentral:rRNA from 1 species
UUGAUCAUGGCUCAGAACCGAACGCUGGCGGCGUGCCUAACACAUGCAAGUCGAACGAGAAAGAGUUCUUCGGAACUUGAGUACAGUGGCGCACGGGUGAGUAACGCGUAGAUAAUCUACCCUGGUGUUUGGGAUAACCGGCCGAAAGGCUGACUAAUACCGGAUAUAUGUGUCAUUGCGAGAUGACCCAGGAAAGGUGGCCUCUAUAUAUAAGCUAUCGCACGGGGAUGAGUUUGCGUACCAUUAGCUGGUUGGUGGGGUAAAGGCCUACCAAGGCGACGAUGGUUAGCGGGUCUGAGAGGAUGAUCCGUCACACUGGCACUGGAACACGGGCCAGACUCCUACGGGAGGCAGCAGUGAGGAAUAUUGCGCAAUGGGGGGAACCCUGACGCAGCGACGCCGCGUGAGUGAGGAAGGCCUUCGGGUCGUAAAGCUCUGUCAGCAGGGAAGAAGUGCAAGGCGGUUAAUACCCGUUUUGUUUGACGGUACCUGCAAAGGAAGCACCGGCUAACUCCGUGCCAGCAGCCGCGGUAAUACGGAGGGUGCAAGCGUUGUUCGGAAAUCACUGGGCGUAAAGGG